rnacentral:rRNA from 1 species
UACGUAGGGUCGCAAGCGUUGUCCGGAAUUAUUGGGCGUAAAGAGCUCGUAGGCGGUCUGUCGCGUCGGCUGUGAAAACCCGGAGCUCAACUCCGGGCCUGCAGUCGAUACGGGCAAACUGGGAGUGUUGCAGGGGAGACUGGAAUUCCUGGGUGUAGCGGUGAAAUGCGCAGAUAUCAAGGAGGAACACCGGUGGCGAAGGCGGGUCUCUGGGCAACAACGUGACGCUGGAGGAGCGAAAGCGUGGGGAGCGAACAGGA